UACAUGGGGUGCAAACGUUGCUCGGAAUUAUUGGGCGUAAAGCGCACGUAGGCGGUCCGUUAAGUCGGAUGUGAAAGCCCCCGGCUCAACCGGGGAAGUGCAUCCGAAACUGGCAGGCUAGAGUACGAAAGAGGGUCGCGGAAUUCCCGGUGUAGAGGUGAAAUUCGUAGAUAUCAGGAGGAACACCGGUGGCGAAGGCGGGUCUCUGGGCAGUAACUGACGCUGAGGAGCGAAAGCGUGGGGAGCGAACAGG
rnacentral:rRNA from 1 species